CCUACGGGUGGCAGCAGUGAGGAAUAUUCGUCAAUGGACGCGAGCCUGAACCAGCCAAGUCGCGUGAAGGAUGACUGCCCUAUGGGUUGUAAACUUCUUUUAUAAAGGAAUAAAACGAGGCACGUGUGCCUUUUUGCAUGUACUUUAUGAUUAAGGAUCGGCUAAAUCCGUGCCAGCAGCCGCGGUAAUACGGAGGAUCCGAGCGUUAUCCGGAUUUAUUGGGUUUAAAGGGAGCGUAGAUGGGUUGUUAAGUCAGUUGUGAAAGUGUGCGGCUCAACCGUAAAAUUGCAAUUGAUACUGGCAGUCGUGAGUACAGUUGAGGUAGGCGGAAUUCGUGGUGUAGCGGUGAAAUGCUUAGAUAUCACGAAGAACCCCGAUUGCGAAGGCAGCUGACUAAACUGUGACUGACAUUGAUGCUCGAAAGUGUGGGGAUCAAACAGGAUUAGAUACCCGAGUAGUC
rnacentral:rRNA from 1 species